rnacentral:tRNA from 1 species
GUCGUGUCUCAGCGGUAGAGUGCACGUCUAGCACAUGCGAGGCCCUAGGUUCAAUCCUCAGCACCACA